rnacentral:rRNA from 1 species
UGGGGAAUUUUGGACAAUGGGGGAAACCCUGAUCCAGCCAUCCCGCGUGUGCGAUGAAGGCCUUCGGGUUGUAAAGCACUUUUGGCAGGAAAGAAACGUCAUGGGUUAAUACCCCGUGAAACUGACGGUACCUGCAGAAUAAGCACCGGCUAACUACGUGCCAGCAGCCGCGGUAAUACGUAGGGUGCAAGCGUUAAUCGGAAUUACUGGGCGUAAAGCGUGCGCAGGCGGUUCGGAAAGAAAGAUGUGAAAUCCCAGGGCUCAACUUUGGAACUGCAUUUAUAACUACCGGGCUAGAGUGUGUCAGAGGGAGGUGGAAUUCCGCGUGUAGCAGUGAAAUGCGUAGAUAUGCGGAGGAACACCGAUGGCGAAGGCAGCCUCCUGGGAUAACACUGACGCUCAGGCACGAAGGCGUGGGGAGCAAACAGG